CAUUUCUCAAUCCCUCUGUACGUAAAAUUAAAAAUGAAAUAGACUUAGGGGGAAUAUGAUGAAACCUGAGAGGUGAACGACGAGAACACGAGAAUCAGGAUGAUCAACCCAAUCAAAUCGCGGCUCGAAUUCCUCGAAUUUUUUAGCAGAAGAAGAAGGAUCCAUGGCCGUUGCGCUUCGACUUUCUUCUCAGGAAGAGCAGUGCGGAUGACUUGCAGAAUGUGGCUGCUGAUCUCAGGUCAUAUAUUUGGAAACAGAUGGCUGACGCUGGAAUCAAGUUUAUUCCAAGCAACACUUUUUUCGUAUUAUGAUCAAGUGCUUGACACUGCAACUAUGCUCGAGAAGUUGUGUCAGAGCUGAAGGCUGCUGGUGCCACCUGAAUUCAAUUUGAUGAGCCUACACUUGUGAAAGAUCUUGACCCUCACCAGUUACGAACAUUUGCUCAUGCCUAUUCAGAGCUGGAAUCCACCUUAUCUGGUUUAAAUGUUCUGAUCGAGACAUACUUUGCUGAUAUUCUUGCUGAGGCAUACAAAACUCUCACCUCUUUGAAGGGUGUCUCUGGUUAUGGACUCGAUCUAGUUCGUGGAACACAGACUUGAUCUGAUCAAAGGUGGAUUUCCUUCAGACGCUCAAUACCUAAUAUGCAUACACAAUAUACAAAAAUAAGCUAAUAAUGACAGAAAUAAUACAAACUUAUUAUCAAAUACACAAACCUGAAUUAAUACAAAACUGAUGCAGAACAUCAAACAAUAAUCCACCCCAUAUAUGCCAAACGGUUAACUCAUGCUUUUAAGUGCCAAAAGAAAAUUAUUAAAAUCUUUUCAAAGGAAAAAUCUCAAAUGUCAUUUGCCCAAGAGUUUUAUCGAUCAAUUAAAUUACAUAAUAACCCAACAAAAUUUAGAAUCACUUGUAACACUUGAUAAAAAUAUUGGUUGAAUGAAAACUUAAAUUUGUCUUAGGAUUGUUAUCAAUUUAUUCAUCACAACAAACCUACUUGAGUUUUGAGAGUAAUUGUCUCUAGUGAUUUUCGUGAUAGAACAAAUCACCUUUCUUCUAAGAAUAGCAUGUCUAGAAAAUUAAUGAAUGUGUUCAACUAAAUAGAAAAUGACUUUGUUUAUAGACUUGUGGCCAUCCAAGAAGUCAUGCGUUUUUCUAUAAUUUAGUGAUUAAUUUUCAUGAAAUGAUGCAUCCAUUUACGUGGAAACACAAACAACAAUCAUUUAGGGUAUAUUUUGUAAUUGUUAGUAGUUUAGUCAAGGCAUUGUGAAAAUUAAAGGUAAACUUUUCUUGCGUAAUGAUUUAAUCUCAAUACUAAAUUGUUACUAAUUAAAGUUUACUUUAGUUUACAAACUAAAAAGUGUUGGGAUAAAAAUUUUUAUACUUCACUUUUUUAGUUUGAGAUUUGAGAUUUGAGCUAUGAACAUUAGGAAGUGGAUAAGGGAACAACAAGUAAAGAAAAUGGUAUAGUUUGUUGCAAAUAUAGCAAUUUUAUUUCACGUCUCUUAGAAUAAAUUCCUUCACAUAUUUCAUUGUUCACUCAUAAACUUGAAGUUCAUUCAUUCAUACCUUCUUCACAACUCUUCCUCCGUAUGACCUUUCUUUGAAAGAUUCAGAUACAGAAUCACCCCCAAAGCCAAAGUGACCAUAUUUGUCCUUAAUUCCUUCACCACCCCAUCAACAACCUGUUUGUACCCUUCUCUUCUUCUCAACCUUCCACUCUCUUCUCCCAUUUCCUCACUCCUCUUCUCCAACUUCUUCUUUCCCCUCCUCAGCCUUCUCCUCCAUUUUUGACGCACCUUCUUCUUCUUUACCUCCUUCUCGUCUUCUCCAAAGCAUCCCGUAGUUUUGUAUGUAUUUUUCCCUUGUCCUCUGUUUUUUCCUUCUUAGCUAAAUCUUCAACUGGCUGUCCACAGCCCAUGGAGGAUGUCUCGCCGGAUUUUGGGAUCCUCGCGGGUGCUCCGGUUGCCUCCUCUGGCUUUGGAGGAGUGGGGAUUUGUUUCCCACUAGCUUGUGAUUUUGGCCUGUCGUUUUGGCUCUUUGGGGCGUUUGGUCGAACAGUUGGUGGGUAAACAGUGGAUUUUGUGGCAGCGGGUUUUGGAGUGUCGGCUCUUUCGUUUCGGAACGAUCGGAACUUUGGUAGGUGUUUUAUGCCACCGUUUUUUUUUUUCCAAUAAGAUAGACAUCGGGAGCGGGUAUUAUGAUCCAGCUCCGUGGUUCGCUUUGGCUCUCUGGGGCAUUUGAUCCAACAGUUGGUGGGGCGACAGUGGGUUCUGUAGCAGCGGGCUUUAGAGGCUCGUCUCUUUCGUUUUGGCUCUUUGGAGCAUUUGGUCGAACAGUUGGUGGGUCAGCAGUGGGUUUUGUGGCGGCGGGCGGCGGUUGGGAUUCAGCCUUGGGCUUGGGUUACUGAACCGGUGGGAUGUUGGAGGAGGUGGCGGAGGGCUUCUUAGGCUGUUUCACGUAGAGAAUGCCUUGUUCCAAUUUGGAAGAGAUCUUGUCGGUGUCUGCGUCGUCGGGGAUAUCGAUUUCCUUUUGGAAUCGAAGCCACUUGCCGUUGGUGAGCUGCCGGUCGCCGGAGACUCACUUUGGAUGUGUUCUGUUGCCGGCAAUUUCUUCAUAAGAUAUUUAUAUAUAUAUUCCAAAAGGGAUUUUGAUGUGUUUAAUUUGGAUAUUGAUUCGAAAUCUGGACUUCAAACAGCGGCUUUCUGAAAUUGCAAUCCCCAAAUAGGAAUUUCUUUGGGAUUAGUAAUUUCUUCGGUUGAAGCUUUCUUUGUGUUUCCCCGGCCACGGCGGUUGCUUGGAUUCUUCAUUGGUUUAUUUCUCUUAAACACUUUUCCAUAACCUUGAUUUUCAAUAUCAUAUGAUUUUAGAUUC